UGUAAAGUUCAAGCUCCGAUUUGUGAGGGCGAAACCGCGAAUGGCUCAUUAAAUCAGUCAUAAUCUACUUGAUUGUUUAAGUUUAGAUGGAUAACUGUGGUAAUUCUAGAGCUAAUACAUGCGUGAAGGGGGCGACCGUCGAGGAAGCCUUGCGUUUAUUAGACUAAGACCGAUGGGACCUCGUGUCUCUUAAAGUUGGUGACUCUGAGUAAAUAACGGGUGCAAGCCCGUGCUGCCGACCUGGCACUCAAGGGCCCUCAAAAGCCCGCCAGGCGAAUCAAUCGAGUGUCUGCUCUAUCAACUGUGGAUGGUAGGGUAAUUGCCUACCAUGGUGAUGACGGGUAACGGGGAGUUAGGGCUCGACUCCGGAGAACAAGCCUGAGAAACGGCUAGUAGGACUACGGUCUGCAGCAGGCGCGAAACUUACACAAUGCUAGAUUCAAGAUAAUUAGCGAUGUAGUGAAGAAAAAUAACGAUGUGCUUGCUUUUAAACAAGCUUGCACAAUUGGAAUGAGACGACUUUAAAGCAGUUAGUCGAGUAACAAAUGGAGGGCAAGUCUGGUGCCAGCAGCCGCGGUAAUUCCAGCUCCAUUAGCAUACAUUAAAGUUGUUGCGGUUAAAAAGCUCGUAGUUGAAUGUAGUGGUGUUUGAAGUGUCUGCUAUCCGUUAAGGUGGUUUCGACUACUGGAUAGUGUGGCACUUUAGAUGCUUGUUUCGUCACUUAAUCGAGUGCGAAGCGGGCGAGGUCGCGCGUUCCUUAACUGAAACGUGUGCGCCUUGCCUGUUUACCUUGAGAAAAUUAGAGUGCUCAGAGCAGGCAGUUGGACUGUAAAAGGUUCUUUAUGCUUGAAUAAUGUUGCAUGGAAUAAUAGAAUACGGCCUCGGUUCUAUUCUGUUGGUCUUAUAGAACAACAAACAAGUUGUGGUAAUCACCAUUGGAUGUUUCGUGUGGGGUUCACUGGGAGUCGUGUUGUCAGAGAGUAAAAUUUCUGUACCUCCUCACAGUAAACAUUAAAACCUACACCCUACAACCAGAUCACUCACAACUGAGGCAAUGGUUAAAAGAAAUAGUCGCGGCGGCAUCAGUACUGCAUCGUGAGAGGUGAAAUUCUUAGACCGAUGCAAGACUAACUGAAGCGAAAGCGUUUGCCGAGGAUAUUUUCAUUAAUCAAGAACGAAAGUUAGAGGUUCGAAGGCGAUCAGAUACCGCCCUAGUUCUAACCAUAAACGUUGCCAACUAGCAAUUGGGUUGCGAUUCCUUUAGUUGGAGCGGUCAAAAACUCCAACCAUUAUGAUCCACCCAGCGGCUCUCGUAGGGAAACCAAAGUGUUUGGGUUCCGGGGGAAGUAUGAUUGCAAAGUUGAAACUUAAAGGAAUUGACGGAAGGGCACCACCAGGAGUGGAGCCUGCGGCUUAAUUUGACUCAACACGGGGAAACUUACUAGAUUAGAACUCUGGAAUGAUUGACAGAUUGAUAGCUCUUUCUUGAUUCAGAGGAUGGUGGUGCAUGGCCGUUCUUGAUUCGUAUUCCGAAACGUCUGCUUAAUUGCGAUAACGAGUGAGACCUCCCCCAACUAACUAGUCGUUCGUUGCGCCGUUUGGGCGUUCACGGUGCCUGGUUGGCUAGUUGAUUGGUGGCAACAUCGGUCAAUCCAACCAAGCAUUGCCCUCUGCUCGACGACGGACUUCUUAGAGGGAUAAACGGUGUUUUAGCCGUAAGAAACGAGGCAAUAACAGGUCUGUGAUGCCCUUAGAUAUUCUAGGCCGCACGCGUGCUACAAUGGCGUGUGCAGAGAGCUUGUUCGAGGUUCGUCCGCAGAGAACUAGUGGCCUGGUGCGCGGGUGGGGGCAACCUCGUUUGUGUAUCAACCGCCAAGUGACUGCGGUUAGCGAGCCGAGAGAAACCGCAGCCGAAAGGUUGUGGCAAUCAGAAAUACACGCCGUGAUUUGGGAUUGGGGAUUGCAAUUGUUGCCCAUGAACGAGGAAUUCCCAGUAAGCGCGAUUCAUCAUAUCGCGUUGAUUACGUCCCUGCCCUUUGUACACACCGCCCGUCGCUACUACCGAUUGGAAGUUUUAGUGAGGCAUCUGGAUUCGUCGGCCACGAGAGGAGCAAUUCUCUCCGGCCUGGUGGAGAAGUUUGUCGAACUCAAAUUUCUAGAGGAAGUAAAAGUCGUAACAAGGUUUCCGU
rnacentral:rRNA from 1 species